rnacentral:rRNA from 1 species
UGGGGAAUUUUGGACAAUGGGGGCAACCCUGAUCCAGCCAUCCCGCGUGUGCGAUGAAGGCCUUCGGGUUGUAAAGCACUUUUGGCAGGGAAGAAACAGCCUGGGAUAAUACCCCGGGCGACUGACGGUACCUGCAGAAUAAGCACCGGCUAACUACGUGCCAGCAGCCGCGGUAAUACGUAGGGUGCAAGCGUUAAUCGGAAUUACUGGGCGUAAAGCGUGCGCAGGCGGUUCGGAAAGAAAGGUGUGAAAUCCAGGGCUUAACCUUGGAACUGCACUUUUAACUACCGAGCUAGAGUACGUCAGAGGGGGGUAGAAUUCCACGUGUAGCAGUGAAAUGCGUAGAGAUGUGGAGGAAUACCGAUGGCGAAGGCAGCCCCCUGGGAUGAUACUGACGCUCAUGCACGAAAGCGUGGGGAGCAAACAGGAUUAGAUACCCUGGUAGUCCACGCCCUAAACGAUGUCAACUAGCUGUUGGGGUUUAUUAACCUUAGUAGCGCAGCUAACGCGUGAGGUUGACCGCCUGGGGAGUACGGUCGCAAGAUUAAAAC